ACCAAAUUUCCAACCUUCUUCCCUCACUCCACCGCCACCACCACCACCACCACCACCACCAAAACCAGCUCAGAAGGCCGUGAAAGGUGGUUGUAUUAAAACACUAGAAAGAUCAUCAUACUUUGCUAUAAGAGAAGCUGCAACAUACUACCAAGGAGAUGCUAAGAAAAGAGCUGGUGGCUCCACUAAGACCAUUGUGUACAGUCCUAAUUUAAGAAACAAGAAAGCUACUUUUGCUCUGGUUUGUCAAACCCUUAAUCAUCUUCCGAUUCUAAAGGGAGUGAUUGAGGGUGCUAAUGUACUGAAUGGCAAACAGAAGGUUCCACAAUAUUUAUUGGGCUACAUGUGGGGUAAAGGCGAGCAGUGUAAAAUUCCGUGUACUCAUCAACCUCAACGUAUAUGAACCAUAUCAGUUGCUGAGAGAAUAUCUUGAGAAAGAGGAAAGCAUGUAGGGGAGACUGCUGGUUACAAGAUAGAAAACUAAAGGUGGGAACAAUUCAUCUGUUAUGCUUUGCCCAAACGUCUUUCUUCUGAGGGUGCUAGUUGAGAGACGUAAUAGUACCGGAGCUAAGGAUGAAAAUUGGAAGAGUAGGGUUUCCGAAUUUACUCACAUUGUUGUGGAUGAAAUACAUGGAAGGAAUCUCCAUUCUGAUUUUAUUCUGACAAUUCUAAGAGACUUGCUCCCUUCUUGUUGUCACCUGUGCUCUUGUGGCUAACUCUGGGAAGCAUGUCAUAGUCGCACUUGGUCAUAUCACUCACGCCCAUAACAUUUUGAGGGUUGGGGCCCCUUUGAUUAUCCAUGAUCUUGAAUCUCAUCAUACCGAUCUCAAGAACCAUCACCCUAAUCCAACAGUAUCCAGUACUGGACACUGAAUCAAAACCUUCUCUCUGCUUUCACAAAAACCCUGAGAAACCAAAUUUCCAAUUUUUUUUCUCUUCAAUGGCCCGUCCGCCACCACCAACGUCAGCUCAGAAGGCGGCGAAAGAUGGUUCAAAGAAACAAACCAAUCUAGAAAGAUCGUCGUACUUUGCUAGAAGAGAAACAGCAAAAGUAUUGAAAAGUGUAUGCUAAGGAUAUGCCAAGUAAAGAGCUGUCCGUUCUAUAAAGACCCUUGUUUAUAUUCCUACAAUAAGAAACAAGAAAGCUACUUAUGCUCUGGUCUGCCAAACCCUUAAACGAUCGGUUUUAUAUUGGAAAGCGUAGUAGGCGAUGGGAAUUUGUACUAUGGGUUUUAAGAACCUGUAGUGAAAUGAAACGAGACGAAGCGAAAAAAAAAAUUGAUUGAAGUUUGGAUGCAUUAUUCUAAAAAUUCACUUUCACGUAAACAUCAUUAGGUUGUUCUUUUGGGAAUCCCGUCUGGGGUUUAAAUGUAGGUCUUUUGGAGAUUGUGUGUAGAGGUUAUUGGUAUUUGGAACACUGUAACGCUUUGGGAUGAGCACUAACAGGCACCACAUGUACAACCUUUUUCCCCUUCAAUGGCCUGUCUGCCACCACCAAAACCAGCUCAGAAGGCAGGGAGAGGCGGUUCAAAGAAACGAACCAAUCUAGAAAAAUCAUCAUACUUUGCUAGAAGAGAAGCAGCUAAAGUACUGAAAAGUGUAUCUCCUCACGUACGAAAGAGGGUUCACAUGUCUUGGAAUCUAUUCUUCCGAAGGGACUCGUUUACCGAACUCAUGCGCAGAAGGGGCCUGCUGAUAGAGAGCCAAGCAAGAAAGACAACUCUGAUCAACAAUUACAAGGAGAUGCUAAGAAAAGAGCUGGUGGUUUCAUCAAGCCCAUUGUGUAAAACCCUUAAACAUCUUCUAUUAAAGAAAGUGAUUGAGGGUGCUAAUUUACUGAAUGAAAAAUGGAAGGCAAGAGGAUUUGACGUACAUUAUCGCAUACAAUAAUCUCUUUGGCCAGAAAAUUUUCUGGUUCUAUGGAAAGACGCUCUACAAUCAGGUUUAGGUAUACUUUGUGUGAAGAUAAAAGUGAAACAUGUAGAAGACUUGCUCAUUUACAAUCCAAAUCCUGAUACGGAUGGAGACUAAAGUUGGGAAAAAUUCAUCUGUUAUGUUUUGCACAAGCAGCAUUCUUUUGAGGGUGCUGGUUGAGAUAGGUAAUGGUACAGGAGCUAAGGAUGAAGAUUGGAAGAGUAGGGUUUCCGAAUUUACUCACAUUGUUGUAGUAAUUACUCUCUUAAGUGACUGUUGUGUCCUACUCUUAAUGAUAUCCAAUUUGACUAAUUUCUUUGUUGUAAGUGUCUUCUUUCUGUUUGCUCGUUUCUCUAUAUAUCUUGACUUUGAUGUUCUGUCUGCCGGAUGGCCCUUUUGUAAGAUGAAAUACAUGAAAGGGAUCACCAUUCUGAUUUUAUUCUUACAAUUCUAAGAGACUUGCUCCCUUCUUGUUGUCACCUGUGCUCUUGUGGCUGUCAUUAGCUAGCUUGGGGAAGCAUGUCAUAGUCACACUUGGCCAUGUCACUGACGCUCCUAACAUAUUGAGGGUUGGGGAAUCUCACUACACAGAUCUCAAGAACCAUUCACUCUAAUCCAACGGUAUCCAGUACCAGACAUUGAAUCAAAACCCUCUCUCUGUUUUCACAAAAACCAUGAGAAACCAAAUUUCCAACCUUUAUCCCUAUCAAUGGCCGGUCCACCACCAAAACCAUCUCAAAAAACGGGGAAAGGAGGUUCAAAGAGACGGACCAAUCUAGAUAGAUCAUCAUACUUUGCUAGAAGAGCAGCGGCAGGAGUAUUGAGAAAUGUUUACAACGCGAUGCUAAGAAAAGAACUUUUGGUUCUAUAGAUACUCUCAAAUGGAAACUGGAAAAACAGUAGAGCCAUUACAGUUAAAUCAUUGUAGAAUAGAUUGUCUAUAGGAAAUUCCUCCCUCUCCAACAUUCAUGAAUAAAAGUAUUUCUGUGGAACUGUCUUAAUAAUGCUCUUCCAUUAUCUUUUAGAAUUUGGUGAAAGAUCUGGAGAGAGCGGAACUGCAGGGUGUUUAACAACAAAAGGCGGUCUUUAGAUCAGUUGAUUGUGACCGUCAAAUAUACUCUAUUUAAUUGGUCUUUGCACACUAAAAUUUUUGAAGGCUACUCAUUGAGUACGCUCAUUUGUAAUUGGGAAGCUGUGAUUGGCCACAGUUGAAAUUUUUGUACCUCCUAACAUUCAUUAUUUUGAUGAGUGUUAGUUUUUCAAUUUAAUUUGCCCUUUUCCUGUAAAAAAAAAUGCUCUUCCAUUAAAACAAAGUUUGGCCUAUUUUAUUCCGAUCCUAAGUGUAUUUUCCAUGCUGCUGGUUCAUUAAGUAUAAGAGAAAGCUGUAGCAAAAUGUUGGUACAUCCGGAGGAAAUAAAAGUAUGAGUCAUGCUACAAAGUAGAAACAGUCUGAAAUGGGACAAUGAUAUGCUUGCUCCCUUGUAAAAAUGGACUUCACCUUUUAUCAUCUACCUAUUGGUUCCGAAAACUACUACAUAUAUAUUAUAGGAUAUGACAGCCACGCUUAAAUCUGCAAAGCAUCACAUGGAAUUCUUGGUGAUUGGCCGCGCAGGACGCUGAGAGCUUUUCUCGAUGCUACUAAAAGUUGUCAUGUAUACUGUAUUCCUCGAUGGAUUCACUUUUCAUCCGUCUAUUUUUCCCUACU